GAAGCAUCCAUUUAGCCCG
rnacentral:misc_RNA from 1 species